UACGGGGGGGGGCAAGCGUUGUUCGGAAUUACUGGGCGUAAAGGGCUCGUAGGCGGCCAACUAAGUCAGACGUGAAAUCCCUCGGCUUAACCGGGGAACUGCGUCUGAUACUGGAUGGCUAGAGGUUGGGAGAGGGAUGCGGAAUUCCAGGUGUAGCGGUGAAAUGCGUAGAUAUCUGGAGGAACACCGGUGGCGAAGGCGGCCCACUGGAUCGGUACUGACGCUGAGAUACGAAAGCGUGGGGAGCAAACAGG
rnacentral:rRNA from 1 species